GGACUACCGGGGUAUCUAAUCCUGUUUGAUCCCCACGCUUUCGUGUAUGAGUGUCAAUAUUGGACCAGGUCGCCGCCUUCGCCACCGGUGUUCCUCCUGAUAUCUACGUAUUUCACCACUACACCAGGAAUUCCACGACCCUCUUCCAUAUUCAAGUUUAGAAGUUUUGAAUGCACGUCUUGGGUUAAGCCCAAGGAUUUCACAUCCAACUUUCUAAACCACCUGCACACGCUUUACGCCCAAUGAUUCCGAACAACGCUAGGACCCCCCGUCUU
rnacentral:rRNA from 1 species